rnacentral:rRNA from 1 species
CUGUUGGUAACGUCAAUUCUAGCCGGUAUUAACGACUAACCUUCCUCCCAACUGAAAGUGCUUUACAACCAAGGCCUUCUUCACACACGCGGCAUGGCUGCAU